GCCCGCAAAGCUAGGUAGGUUUACUCGUGUGUAAAUAUGCGAAACACAAAUUUAAAUCGAAGCUGCAGAUCCCCGACAGUGUCAGCGAGACCAGAUAUUUGAUUGUCCAUGCAAUGGAAGAAAAAAACGAGGACAGAAAGUGACAGAUUGGCUGGAAUGCACCCCACCUGUAAGCAGUGGUGGCACAAAUCCUGCACUGAAUGGAAGUGUGCUGGAACAUGAUCAUUCAGCAACUAAAGUAUUUGUUGUACGGCCACAUUGUGUUUCGGUACUAAUAAUCUAUUUAUUUUAAAGACUGCUACCUAAUUAAAACCACUGUUAGCAAUGUUGAUUUAAAAUGAUUUUUUGGUUUGCAAAGUAUUAACUUGGCAGUCAUCUCACAACCUUCUCGGGAGUCUGUUUUGGGUUGACAAUGCAUUUUAGUGAUGACGGAUAUUUCUUAUUUCAGUGUAUAAAUUUAUAACAGAGGUUUUUUUAUUUCUAGUUUAUAGAAAAUGAAAGUUUUGUUAUAAUAGAGUGAGCACUUUUGACAGGUGACUGCUAUAUAUGAAAUAAACAAUGCAUUGUGGAUAAAAGACCAA
rnacentral:lncRNA from 1 species